GAUUGUCUUUGGUUUUUUUCAAUCAUUGAGAGAAUUAAAAGGGAAUUUGGUGCAAUUCCAGAACUGUUCCCGCAACUGUAAGCCGUCCUUGUAAAAGGGCCGUCACAUACUUCAACCACUGUGCUUGUCAUGGGAAGGGUGGCGUAACGGGUAAGUCAGGAGACCUGCCAAAGAAUAA
rnacentral:ncRNA from 1 species